rnacentral:lncRNA from 1 species
GCUCGGUCUCGAGAUGCAAGACGAAGGUUUUUUUUCUUCUGUCCUGUCCGGCCGGAGAGAGAUUCGGUAUUUUCCGGAUCGAACGGGUCCGGGCCGGUUUUUCUGUAAGAGACUGACCGGUGGGUCAUGUGUGUCAGAAAAAGCAUCUAUACGUAGAAAUACAGGAUAUGCAAAAUAUGGUCUGUAUCUUGAUACGUAUCUAAAAAAAAAUAAAAGAUGACAC